rnacentral:rRNA from 1 species
CACGGUCCAAACUCCUCCGGGAGGCAGCAGUGGGGAAUAUUGCACAAUGGGCGAAAGCCUGAUGCAGCAACGCCGCGUGAGUGCUGAAGGCCUUCGGGUCGUAAAACUCUGUCCUCAAGGACGAUAAUGACGGUACUUGAGGAGGAAGCCCCGGCUAACUACGUGCCAGCAGCCGCGGUAAUACGUAGGGGGCUAGCGUUAUCC